AACGAACGCUGGCGGCAUGCCUAACACAUGCAAGUCGAACGAGACCUUCGGGUCUAGUGGCGCACGGGUGCGUAACGCGUGGGAACCUGCCCUUAGGUUCGGAAUAACUCCCCGAAAGGGGUGCUAAUACCGGAUAAUGUCUUCGGACCAAAGAUUUAUCGCCUUUGGAUGGGCCCGCGUUGGAUUAGCUAGUUGGUAGGGUAAAAGCCUACCAAGGCGACGAUCCAUAGCUGGUCUGAGAGGAUGAUCAGCCACACUGGGACUGAGACACGGCCCAGACUCCUACCGGAGGGAGCAGUGGGGAAUAUUGGACAAUGGGCGAAAGCCUGAUCCAGCAAUGCCGCGUGAGUGAUGAAGGCCUUAGGGUUGUAAAGCUCUUUUACCCGGGAUGAUAAUGACAGUACCGGGAGAAUAAGCUCCGGCUAACUCCGUG
rnacentral:rRNA from 1 species